GAUGUGGUGGCUCAAUGGUAGAGCUUUCGACUCCAGUCGUCCAGGUUGUAAUCGAAGGGUUGCAGGUUCAAUUCCUGUCCAUGUCA
rnacentral:tRNA from 2 species